GAAUUUUUAAUGAAAUAAUGAGAAUUUUUUGAAAACAGCUUCGAUUGCUGAGAAGGACAAUGGUGAAUGAUGAUACUGCUGUGGAUAAUUAGAUGACACUUUCUCCACUUCAGUGUUUCUGAUUCCAGCUUCUUUAUUAAGCUUCACUUUUUUCUCUUCCGGUGCAGUCCACAAGAGUGUCUGGUGGAGUACCAACUGAAAUGCAGCUUGGUCUACUGUCUCCUCUAUAUUUGAGGAAGCUCUUUGAACUCAUGGGAACUACUUACAUUAAGCUGGGCCAGUUUAUAGCAUCUGCGCCAACUUUUUCCCAACCAGAAUAUGUCAGGAGAUUUUCAGAACCCUUCAACAAAGCUCCUCCAGUUCCGUUUGAAGAAGUUCAUAAAAUUUUGCAAGAGGAACUUGGUAGCGUAUACAAAUAUGUUGACCCUACACAACUUGCAUCAGCCUCAAUAACACAAGUCCAUGAACCAUGGCGCAAGGCUUAGAGGCUAACAAGUGGAUGUCGUGAGAAGAUUUGAACUUUAUCAACGAUGUUGCCCGUAUACUGCUCUAUACGCUCAUAAAUGGCUUGAGUUCAAGCUUCUAGACACUGUUACAGUAGACACUGUUACAGUUUGCACGCCACCAAGUUGUUAAGAUAUCUUCUCCUUCUUUGUGUGAUUUUCAACUUUUUCUAAAACUAAUAUGCAUCCCUAUAAUGCACAUGAGGUAUGUCUUAUAAAAAUAUCAUUGGUCUUAGUCCAAGUGAUUUAGUUUGUUUAGAUGUCUAAGCUUAUAUACGUAUCUUCUUAAUGGCAUUGGUCCAUUAAUAUAGUUAAGUUCUGUGUUUUUUUAUGUCUGGAAUUGUUUCUUACUAAAUGGAUUGGGGUGCAGUUAUUGACGGGCACUAUUCUUGGGUUUCUCAUCAAACUACUAACAUGUCUGAUCGACUCAUCAAUUUCCACUAAUCAGGAAACAUCAUGGUUUUGUAUGCCAUGACUCAAACCGAGACUGUCAGACGAAAAAGGUUUAAAUAAAGACCUUCUGUCUCUGGCUUCUGUUGUGUGUAGGAGUAAAAGCACCUCAUUAAACAAACUAUUUACUAUCACUGGAGCAGCAAGAAGAGAAAGAAGAAGAGUUUUUAAGGAUUAAAGAUGUUAGAGCUGGUGAAGAGGACGCUGCAACCAGUGACAAGAUCAACGAACAGAGAAGCAGAUUAACAAACCUGAUAUAGAGUUCCUGAACAGCAAGAUGAUCUUUGCAAACUUUCGGUGUAUUGUGUGCUUUGGCUUCCGCUUUGAGUAAAAUAUGUAUAUGUUUCACAACAUUGAGUAUUCAAAAAUAUUGUAUCAAAGAUAUUGUAUCUGAUACCUAUUUAAAAUUCCGUUUAUUUUUUUGAUA